UUUUAAUAUUGAUAGUGCGUGAAGUCGCCCUGCUAAUCCGUUCAAUGUGAAACGUGCAACGGAAAGGGUCUGACAUUAUUGUGUUGCCUCAAUAAUUCGCAUUGCCAGGUUGGCAGACGAGUUGCCAAUUAAUUGCUGCUCACCUGUAGCUAAUGGAAAAGUGAGUGCAAUGAGAGAAAUCUGAAACAAAGGCAAUAUCCCCAAUGGCAGCAACAACAACAACAAAAGAAACUGCAGCGAAUUUGUAACAAGUCAUACGGAAAACCAGCUUGCCAUAUGAAAAGGAAAAAACAAAAACAACAAUAAUAAUAAUAAAAAUAAGAGCAGCAAAAACAACAGCAACCGAUCGGCAGUCAGAACGAAAUAGCGACAAAACAAAGAAUAAAGUGGGUAACAAAGAACGCAAAACACAAGACAACACUCAGCCAGUAAAGACUGGAACGUCAGAAACAAGAACAGCAACAACAAAAUUACAACAACAACCAGUAUCAUUCAAUCAGAUUUCGACAGCAACAAGAGAGUAGCUAGCUCUGCCUAGGCGUAGUGUGUCGCUGAACCGAAUUGAAAUACACAACACUCAGCACAAUAGCAACAGCAGUAAUACGAAUAAUAACAAGCUUUUAAAAUUUUUGACUUCAUAUUUUGUGCGCACUCAGCGCAAACAGCGACAAAUUAUUAAUUAAAACGCCAAAUGUUUGGCAGGCGUCUUGGAAAGUGCAUGUCUAAGCAAGAGCGCAUACAUACGGAGCACCAUUUGCAGUGAGUGCAAGCGAGAAGCAACGCCAGACGAGAGAGUAACGUUGAGUGAGAACAAGCGCGAGUGCAAUUCCUGUGUGAGUUUGAGUGCGCGUGUCUCGUUUCCAAUUUGUUGCGAUCAGCUGGCUGCUCAUACGUGUUCCUGUCCGCGUUUCAUGUGAACAUUUUUCAAGUGCACACCAACAACAGUAGCUGCGUAUUAGAGCUCUUGCGCAUCGCUAUUAUUUAUGCCGGCACUUGCUCUCCGCACAGGUGGACGCAUCUUCCGUGGCCGUGCCAUUGUGUUAUCAGUCAAUGGCACUGAGUGAAAGACGCUGCAGCGUCAAUUAAAUUUCAUAGCAGUGAGUUGAAUAGCAGAAGCAACAACACAACAAUAACAAUAACAACAGCGCCAGUGCAACUUUCAAAGCUUUUAAACGCCCGCACAACGUCCAGCCACAUCAAAUACUCCAGACAUCAUGUCGCAUGCUACGCUGCACCAUGAUGUGGCACAGCCAACGCUGCCUGCCUCAGAGGAUCUCACAGUACAAGCAAACAAAUCGAAGACCAACACCUUGAACUCCCUACGCAAUGGCAAUGCCUCGAACUACUCAAGUCCCGGGCCCGAGAAGCUGACGGUGCUGGACAUGAUACUGGAAUCGUUGGCCCUGCGCAAUCUGACGUCCAAGGAUAUGGGCACACUGAUAAUGCUGGGCUCCAUGUUUUUGCUGUUUGUGAUAAGCGUGACCGGGUUCUUUGUGAUGUGGUUUACCGAAUACUACAAUAAUACAAUGCUCGAGAAUUUAAUCCUCGCUGAGAACUCGGAUACAGCGAACAGUUGGCUCUCGCCGGAUCCCAAGUAUGAUACUCUACUCAAGGCGCACAUCUUCAACUAUACGAACAUUGAGGACUAUCUGGCUGGGCGAGCGGACAAGAUACACGUCGAGGAUCUGGGCCCGCUCACCUAUCAGGAGCAUACGAUCAAGGAUCAGGUGUCCUUCAAUAAGAAUCAUACGGUUACAUUUCGGGAUAAAAAAUCGUAUAAGUUUCUGCCGGAAAAGUCGACGGUGCGGGAAGAUGAUGUGAUCCUGGUGCCCAAUGUGCCGCUGCUGUCGGCGGCGGUGCAUGUGAAGCGAAUGGCCGCAAUCAAGCGCCUCUUUGUGACCGGCACCAUCAAGCUCUUUGAGGAGCCGCUGUUCAAGCGACUCACUGCCUACGAGUAUCUGUGGGGCUAUCGGGACAAGAUAAUCAGUCUGGAAUCUCUGGGCGGCGGCAAGACGCACUUCGGUCUGCUGAGAACUCGCAACGGUACGAGCGUGGACUCGGUGCAGCUGAACACGGGCGAGGACGACAUCUCCAAGUUUAGCAUCAUCACCCAGUUCAAUGGCAAGCCCCAGUUGGAUUUCUGGCAGGGCGACGAGUGCAAUCGCAUCGAUGGCAGCGAGCCGUCCAUGUUCUCGCCCACCAUGCUGCAGACUCGCAGCACGGUCAAUGUCUUCCUGCAGGUACUGUGCCGUAAGGUGCCGCUACGCUUCGAGAAGGAGGAGACCAUCUACAAUGACAUUGAUGUGCUGCGCUAUCGUACGCCCUUGGACGUCUUUGCCCAUCCUUCCGAGAAUCCGGCCAACGAAUGUUAUUGCCGCAAUACUGAUCUCUGUCUGCCGAGUGGCGUAAUCAAUGCGACCAGGUGCUACGAUGAUUCACCAAUUUUCCCAUCGUUUCCGCAUUUCUUCACCGGCGAUCCGAUACUGUACAAGGAUUUUGAGGGCAUCAAUCCAGAUGCCGAACUGCAUCAGACUUAUGCCGAUAUACAUCCGCGCUUUGGCUUCCCUAUUAGCGGCGCCUCCCGCAUCCAGAUCAACAUCAUGCUGGACAAGACGCCACUGCUGCGCAAUCAAGCCUGGCGCAUGCAAAAUGCCACCAUCUUGCCCCUGAUCUGGAUUGAAAUAACCGCUGGCGACUUCAAUGAAGAUGUCCUGCACACGCUCUAUGUGAGCACCUUUGGCCUGGACGCCAUCCAGCUGGCGCUCAAGUACGGCACCCUGUUGGUCUCCGUGACCAGCUUCAGCCUGAUUGUGGCAAGCGUUUACUAUCUGAACAGCAAGCGUGAGGAGCAGCAGCAGCUGGAGAAGAGCAAAUCCUCUGCAGAGCUGGAAGCCCUUGCUGGUCCAAGUUCAAGCAAUGGUGGCAUUGUUGUUGUCCAGGUCCUGCCACAUGGCGUCAGUCUGGCGCAUCGCGCCAAUUCGUAGUGCCAUUAGCAACUAGUUAGGGGAGGGAUUUGUGGGCGGGGCAGCACAAAUGGGUUUUGUGCAUGGGUAAGAGAGAGAGAGAGCCCUCUUGCGCUGGAGUGCCUUAUCAAUCAAGAGAUUUUCGAAUUUGUCACGACUUAGGAUACGAUAGCAGUAGAAUAAAAGAAACAAA